CCUACGGGAGGCUGCAGUGGGGAAUAUUGCACAAUGGGCGCAAGCCUGAUGCAGCCAUGCCGCGUGUGUGAAGAAGGCCUUCGGGUUGUAAAGCACUUUCAGCGGGGAGGAAGGCGGUGAGGUUAAUAACCUCAUCGAUUGACGUUACCCGCAGAAGAAGCACCGGCUAACUCCGUGCCAGCAGCCGCGGUAAUACGGAGGGUGCAAGCGUUAAUCGGAGUUACUGGGCGUAAAGCGCACGCAGGCGGUCUGUCAAGUCGGAUGUGAAAUCCCCGGGCUCAACCUGGGAACUGCAUUCGAAACUGGCAGGCUAGAGUCUUGUAGAGGGGGGUAGAAUUCCAGGUGUAGCGGUGAAAUGCGUAGAGAUCUGGAGGAAUACCGGUGGCGAAGGCGGCCCCCUGGACAAAGACUGACGCUCAGGUGCGAAAGCGCGGGGAGCAAACAGGAUUAGAUACCCGAGUAGUC
rnacentral:rRNA from 1 species